CAGGUCCCACUCGCUCACCAGAGGGGGCAGCCUUACACUUUAUCCCCCAGGUGACUGAGGACCCAACAGUGUGCUCCUUGCUUGGAGGCUAAUGAUGAGCUCCUAAUUUCCCUGUGGACUUGGCUUCUACAAGACAGGCUUCUGGAGACGCUGUGGAUUCUCUCCUGAGCGACUAGGGGCUGGCAGGAAGGGCAGGCGCUUGGUGCUGCAUCUCAAUCCCUGCAGCCCCAGGAGCAGCGGCAGCAGGAACAUGUAUGGAUUUAUCAACACCUGUCUGCAAUCUCUUGUGACAGAGAAAUUUGGCGAAGAAAUAUGGGAAAAAUUGAAAACUUCUGCAGAAGUACAAGAUGCCUUCAUGACCUACACAAUGUAUGAUGACAUCAUCACCAUUAAGCUCAUCCAAGAGGCCUGCAACAUUCUGGGAGAUGAAUGCACCAUCGUUUCGUGUGGAGAGAGGAGCAGAUGGGAAAAUGUUUUUCCAUUACUACUCGGGUAGAGGUGGUCUGUGCCACAUUGUACAGGCCCUCCUGGCAGCUUUCCUCAGGAUGAAGGAGAAGUAUUUGAAUGUCUCUUCUUAUCCUGUGAAAAAAUUCCACUGGGAUGUUGUGAGAAGCAUAGUCAUGUUUGGAAAAGGGCAUCUCAUGAACACCUUUGAGCCAAUUUAUCCUGAGAGACUCUGGAUUGAAGAGAAGACAUUCUGCUAUGCUUUUCCUUUCCACAUUGUAUUUGAUGAAUCACUACGGGUGAAGCAAGCCGGAGUGAACAGUCAGAAGUACGUACCAGGACUCCAAACCCAGAAGAUUCAACUGGAUGAGUAUUUCUCCAUCAUUCAUCCUCAAGUUACCUUCAACAUUUUCAGCAUCCUCAAAUUUAUCAACAGUCAAUUUGUCCUGAAGACACGAAGAGAAAUGAUACCUGUAGCAUGGCAAAGUCAGACCACACUCAAACUUCGAGUCCAGAUGAUCUGGAUGGAGUGCAUGCGGUGCAUGGUGUACCUGUGCUCUCCAAAGUUCCGCAGCCUGCAAGAGCUGGAAGAACUCAAUAUGCAUCUUUCUGACAUCGCCCCCCACGACACCACCAGGGAUCUCAUCCUCCUGAACCAGCAGCGGCUGGCUGAGAUAGAGCUGUCCAACCAGCUGGAAAGGAAGAAGGAGGAGCUACGGGUCCUCUCCAAGCACUUGGCCAUUGAAAAGAAGAAAACAGAGACCUUACUUUGUGCCAUGCUGCCCAAACAUGUGGCCAACCAGCUGAGGGAGGGCAAAAAGGUGGCUGCAGGAGAAUGUAAAAGCUGCACGAUUCUUUUCAGUGAUGUAGUGACAUUUACUAACAUCUGUACUGCCUGUGAACCUAUACAAAUAGUGAACAUGCUGAACUCCAUGUACUCCAAGUUUGACAGAUUAACCAGUGUGCACGCGGUCUAUAGUAGAAACAAUAGGAGAUGCUUAUAUGGUGGUAGGAGGUGUACCAGUGCCUUUUGGAAGCCAUGCUCAAAGAGUGGCUAAUUUUGCCUUGGGGAUGAGAAUUUCUGCAAAGGAAGUGAUAAAUCCUGUUACUGGAGAACACAUCCAGGUAGAGAGCAAUUGAGUACUUGGCUUAAUGCCAAACAUCUCACACACAAAAGUAGAAUUCUGCUUAUGUGCUUAGGUGAUUACUGGGUAAGUUGCCGUCAUUAAAAUGGGUAAUGUAUCCUAGCCCUUUUCUUCUCUUGCGUAUGUCCCUAAUAGAGAUAUUCCUAAGGCUACUGUAGUCUCAACUUUUCUCAAAUUUCAGAGGAGGCUGCGGUGCUCAAGGUUUUCCUACGAUUGACUGCAAGCUUCCUUUGUCGGUAAUUUAGGACCAUGCUGAGCAGUUCUUCCUAUUUACCUAGCAGGGCUCAAUCCAUCUUAAAAACCAGCUCAUUUAUAAUUCCUGCUUUUUUGUUCAAGCAUUUCAACAAGUGGUUCAGGUUUAGUGAGCAGCCAACUUUUCCUGCUUAGGAAAUUGUGUCUCCAACAUGCCAUCUGACAGGUUCAGAACUCAGGCUGAGGUGUGAAGCUGCCUGCAGUCAGCAGGACAGGCACCGUGAUGCUGUAAGAUAUUCAGAAUGGCUUUCCUUCCACCACGUGGCCACUAGCGAGACAUCUGCCCGCCUUUCUCACAGAAAAGUACAUUUCCAAGUCUGGAAGUUUGUUCGCACUCUAAAAGUUGAGCAGUUUUGGAGAUGAAAAAUGAAUGUCCUCCUCUGCUGGCUCAGCAGAUCCUAAUGCUCCUGGGAUGGCUGACAGCGGCGUCUCUCUGCCUUUGAUUUCUAGAUGUUUCCCCUGCUAAUAUCAGUCAUAAAUUCAAAAUAAACUAAAUA
rnacentral:sRNA from 1 species